AUGUCUUUUUGUAAUUCAGUCAUUCCUUCCCUCAGUCUCCAGGGCUCUGGUGAAAGCCUUCCCCAGGCCCUGUGUGCUUCCCCCAGUCUCCAGGCUCCUCUAGGUUUUCUCUUUCCUGGUCUUGGCCCUGCAGAACCUGCCAUCUCACCUGUGUGGCUGGACCCGGAUGGUGCACCCAAGAGGCCUCAGGAAAUGCAAUGGCUGCCUCACACUCCUUACAACGUUUGCAUGGGCAUGAGGUGGGGCUGAGUACCAGCACUUGCUGUCGUCAGUCUAAGACCUCAUCCUGCCUCUUCCUGGCCUUGUGCCUUUGAGUAAUGCAUUCUGGUUUCCUGGGGCUCGCUGUUUUCAUCAUGCCACAGCUGGGGAGUCAGUGGGAAUGUGUGGGUCUUUGGACUGGCUGUUCCUUCUGAUUGAUAUGUCCUUCCCAGUGCCCUAUAUGACAGCAACUCUGGGUAGUUAAUAAAAUGUGCUGCCGGGCGUUGGUGUCGCACGCCUUUGAUCCCAGCAUUUAGGAACCAGAAGCAGGCGGAUCUCUGUGAGUUUGAGGCCAGCCUGGUCUACAGAGCAAGUUCCAGAACAAGCUCCAAAGCAAUGCAGAGAAACCCUGUCUCAAAAAACAAAAAUAAAAACAAACAAACAAACAAACAAACAAAAAAGUGCUUUGUCCCUUGGCUGUGCCAGGACUGAUAGUUUAGUGUAGGCACUUGGGACUAGAGUCUCAGCCUCAGCCACCACUGAUUCACUGGUCCUCAGUGCCUUUGUGAAGAACACCCUCUCUAUGGACAUGCCUAGUGACACCCACACAGCUAUGCAUAAGAUAUACCACACAGCUGGCAUGUAUGUUCUUCAUUCACUCACUCACAUACACUUAUUCAGCGCUCCUGAGCCAGGUAUAAAAAUGACAAAUCUCUUCCCUCAGCUUCUGCAUGUAUGUCUCACAGCCCAUUCCCAACCACUAAUGCAUCCAGCCCACCUCACAUGUACACAAUGACUCACAAGUACAGACAUCUGCCGAGUCUGAAACUGGGGGGUGCAUACACACAGGGUUAGGAGUGUCCAGAGCCCCAUGUGGUGCCGGGGAGUGUCCUCAUUCAAGACCCAGGUCACAAGAGAGGGCUUUAGUACCAGGGGCCAUGGCCUCUUCAGAUGUAGUCCAAGGCAGAUUGUGUACACACUAGGAUGCACGUGUUCACACCGAGUGUGAACUCCAGGGUUGGCUCUGGGGCCCUGAUCCCUCACUUGCCAAAGAAGUUCCUCAAAGCCUUUU
rnacentral:lncRNA from 1 species